ensembl:lncRNA
AUGAAAGCUGGAAUAGUUAACUCUUCUUCAGCCUUCUCAAAGGAACUCCUUUGCACUUUGUUCUGCAGACAGAGAAAUACCUAUACUUAUUUGAAUCUAAUGUUCACUUUUUUUUGGGUUGGAGUUUUGACCUUAGAAGGAAGCCAAUGUGAGACUUGGAGGAAGGGAUCCGAAGAAGGACAACCCUGAUGCUUGGAUUAUCAUCAGCCACAGAGUGGAACUCCUGAUUCAACCUAUAGCCCCAGGGCUACAUUCCCAGUACCACAGGAUUGCAGCCUACAGAUAUUUAGAAUUGCAGUCUAAGACUGCAUUCCUCUUGUCUUUGUGUGUGUCAUCUAAUUGCUUCAUGGGUCAUUAUAGGUUGAAAUCUUCAUAGAACAUGAUUGUUCUCAAGCCCUGCUUUCUGACUACAGGUGCCUGUUUCUGUCCUACUUUUGCAAUGCCUCAGUUUAAACACAUGGUAAUCACUGAGAACAAUUUUCUGGAAUGAACUGCUUGGUCCCAGGUGUGCCUUCACAUAGAUGCACUAGACUUAAGAAAUUGACCCAUGAGAUCUAUCCAGGUGAACAUUAUUAUUGUCUGACAACAUGAUCUUCCCUUUUCUUUCUGAGUUUAGCUAUAAUUCUUAGGAGAAGUGGAUUUCCCCAGCAAGCACCUAUUGUUGUGAGUCAUCUCUGAAGGCAAAUAAUGGCUUGCUCAUGAAUGAGUAGUUAAGACCUAUUAGCUUUACAGAAACACCAAAUUAACUUAAUGGAAGUUUAGCAAUGUGAGUUCUGGCUGGUGAAUAGGUGGUAUUUUCUAAAUCAUUGGGGUGGUAACUUCUCAGGUGUUAUUUGGAACUAUUUCACACCUUGAAUGUCUCUCUUAAAGUUUUGAAUAAAACCGACAGCAGGUCCGCUACUCCACUGACACAGAAACCACCAGUUGCCUCUGUAACCAAGUAUCUCCUGCCCAAGUCCAGCAGCCUAAUCACUGUUCUGUUCUGUCUUUUGAUAGUUCAUUGCUCUAUUCUAUGCUAAAUAAUCCCAGACAAUAGGGCAUUAUACCACACAAUACAGAAUGAGAGAGAGAGAUGGAUUAAAACAGCUGUCAAGAUUUAUACAUUCUACUUGGGAGUUUGGGAAGCUUUGUGAUGAGCGCCUGCACUUCCUGUAUAACUGAAACGAAGAGAUGGAGAAAAUCAGAUAAUCCGUCUUCUAGCUCAUGCCUUCAAUAAAGUAUGCUUUACAAGUUGAGAAAGGGCAACACAAAGCCAGAAGCUACUAAGAAUCUAAGAAAAGCUGGAUAGACUUCUGGCAUAAAGUUUGCCACAGGAACUUCAUAGCUGGCUAUUUACAUAGUAAACACCACCAAACCAUGCCAAAGUAUAAUACCAAUAUUACAGUGAUUACACAAUGAGGAUAUUGCUACAAAUGAAAUAUUACUUUAGUCUUCAAAAUUUCUGGCAUUGCAAUAACUUGAGCUGGACAUUCAGAAAUUUAGUAUAGGCAUCCAAUGAAAAAGAACAGGUAAUGAUACCAUGGUAAAGAGGACACAGCAAAUAGAAGAAUCCCAGGGGUCAGCAUUUUUCAGUGUCUUGCUUUCUACAAUGCUGAAGAAAAAAUUAUAGGGGUCAGAUUUCCUUUUUGGGGAAGGCAAUGUUCCCAUUUUGUGCUCCCCAGUCACUACACAUAGUUAUUGGUAUCAACAGACCUGUUGAGCGAAUGAAUUGUAUGGAAAAAUGUCUAGGAGAAUGAGAAAAAUGUGAAGAGAUAGCUACCUCUUUUUUUGAGGAGAUAAAUUCCACAAAGUUUCAGAAGACAUGUGGCAAAUACCACAUUCAUUUACAAGCCAGCUGAAAAAGUGGGGAAAUAGGAGUCUAAUCUGGUACAGGAAACCAAAGAAUAUUUGAAGAUUUAGAUUACCCCACUUCCAUAUGUCCCUGCCCGCAGUGGAGUACCCCUCUGUCCCUCUCACUCCAGGUUUUAUCUUUGUGUUUACGCGGCCUGCCCUUGUUUUAUUGUUUUUUGAUUUCUUGAUGUAAUGCCUAUUAUCAUUUAUUGUAUUUUUUAAUGGUGCUAUGAUAUGUUGUUUUUAUAUCUUAUUAUAUUGUAUUGCUCUGGGCAUGGCCCAAUGUUAGCCGCCCCUCGUCCCCGUUGGGGAGAUGGUGGCGGGGUAUAAAUAAAGUAUUAUUAUUAUUAUUAUUAUUAUUAUUAUUAUUAUUAUUAUUAUUGAAGGCCUGUUUGAUGGUGGCGCCUGCUAACUGUAAAUGUUAUACAGAAUGGUGAUUAUGUUAACCUGCUGUGCAGUGAAAACAAAACAAAUGCUAUUAGGACUUCAUCCCAUGUAGUCUUUGCUCCGUUUCUUUGCACUGCUGAAACAGAGUCCAUCACAUGACAUAAGGCCACUUCUGGUGGCUGCCCGUGGGACUCUGUUGCAUCAAUGUGGGGAAACAGAGCAAAGACUGUGUGUUCCCCAGCUUCUCUCCAGAAGACAGAGAGAAGCUGAGGAAAGGACAUGGAAUAGCUGCCAUCCCUGAAUAUGGAAAGGCACUGAACCUCAAUGGUAAUGUGAAAAAAAGACGGUUUCCGCUGCUUUCCCCACUCCCCCAGG